rnacentral:rRNA from 1 species
AGUGAACGCUGGCGGUAGGCCUAACACAUGCGAGUCGAACGGCAGCACAGUAAGAGCUUGCUCUUACGGGUGGCGAGUGGCGGACGGGUGAGGAAUACAUCGGAAUCUACUUUUUCGUGGGGGAUAACGUAGGGAAACUUACGCUAAUACCGCAUACGUCCUACGGGUGAAAGCAGGGGAUCUUCGGACCUUGCGCGAUUGAAUGAGCCGAUGUCGGAUUAGCUAGUUGGCGGGGUAAAGGCCCACCAAGGCGACGAUCCGUAGCUGGUCUGAGAGGAUGGUCAGCCACACUGGAACUGAGACACGGUCCAGACUCCUACGGGAGGCAGCAGUGGGGAAUAUUGGACAAUGGGCGCAAGCCUGAUCCAGCCAUACCGCGUGGGUGAAGAAGGCCUUCGGGUUGUAAAGCCCUUUUGUUGGGAAAGAAAAGCAGCAGGUUAAUACCCCGCUGUUCUGACGGUACCCAAAGAAUAAGCACCGGCGAACUUCGU